AUCUAGGAAUAGAAUAAUGGGAUUUCUUUUCUUGCAAUCAAUUUCAUCGUUAUUACGUGUUUUGUGUUUCGAACACUGAACUCAAUAGGAUGUAGAUACUCCCAACUUUAUGCCAACAUAACAUCGUUUCGUCAAUAUAUAUAAUAAAUAUCUUUCGUUCACGGACGGGUACUCUUUCCUGAAUGCAAGGUGUUCAGAAUUUGGCCACUACCCCAACAUGACAUGUUUCCAAGCACCAAAUCAAAAAACUUUCGUAUCUCUGAUACAUGAAGACACAUUGGCAUAAAACUAAUUGAAUAAAAAAAUCCAUCAUUUUAAUGCUUGUAAAUUCGCUGCUAUAAACCAAGGUUCUUAACACAACCUUGGGGUUUCACUAUGAAUUUGCUCAAUUAUGUUAGGAACCACAACCUUGGGGUUUCACCAUGAAUUUGACCUUGGGGUUUCACUAUGAAUUUGCUCGAUUAUAUUAGGAACCACAACCUUGGGGUUUCACCAUGAAUUUGCUCGAUUAUGUUAGGAACCUUGGUUUAUAGCAACGAAUUUACAAGUAUUAAAAUGAUGGAUUUUUUUAUUCAAUUAGUUUUAUGUCAAUGUGUCUUCAUGUAUCAGAGAUACGAAAGCUUUUUGAUUUGGUGCUUGAAAACAUGCCAUGUUGGGGCAGUAGCCAAAUUCUGAACUCCUUGAAUUCAAGAAAGAGUACCCGUCCGUAGGCGAAAGAUAUUUACUGUAUGUAUUGACGAAACGAUGUUAUGUUGGCAUAAAGUCGGGAGUAUCUACAUUCUAUUAAGUUUAGUGUUCGAAACACAAAACACGUGAUAACGAUGAGAUUGAUUGCAUGAAAAGAAAUCCCAUUAUUCUAGUCCUAGAUUUCGAGGUUCAGAUACACACUCUUAAUUUAUUAUUUUCUUUUUUUAUUUUUAGCUAUGUUUUAUAAGUUUUUAAAGUUUCUAUAAUUAAUUGGAAUUUUUAUAUUUGAAAAUUAGAUAAAUGAAUCUAACAAGUGAUGUUUUUCUUUUUAAUAUAAUAAUUUAUAUAAAUAUAAUUAAUAAUUUCUUUGAUUAAUUCGUAUCUUGUUGAUCAUAAAUAGUUUUAUGCUUUUAUUAAAGGUUAUUUAAGCAAGAUUGAUAAUUUUCUACAGUUAUUUCCAUGGGAGAAUCUGUUGACAUUGAAAAAUAAAAAGAUUUAUUGCAUGCUAUCUGUUGGAAGUAUUUUUGCAAUAAUUCACACGCAUUGCCAAGACCAAGCGUAGUGUUCGACAAAUUUUGUACCCUUUUCAUCGAUAAAUCCUCGCAACCUAUAUUAUUUAAUAAAUCUGAACAAUAAUUUUGUUGGAAAUGGACAGGUUAAAUUUGGGAAAUGGUUGCAAGGUAAUCUUAUUCUUUAUUUCUCAUAAAAACAAAGAUUUGUGAAAUUGGAUUGAAGUUUCUUUGGCUUUUUCUGUGUAGGGAGCUAUAAUAUUUUCCCCUCAAAUAAUGAGCUGAUUGUAGUCUUAAAAAGCCAUGACCUCUAUUUUUACUCGGGUCAUGGAAACAGUAUGCAACUAGCUUAUGUGCUUAAAAGUUAAUUCUUGUAAAUGUGAGUUAGAGAAAAGCAAGAUUUGUUAGUUAAAAAAAAGUUUGAAAAUCAAAUUUCACAAAUAAGUAAAGCAUAGCCAAGCAUGUAUAUGUGUAUAUAUAUUUUUUUAAUUUUGUAUUUUCAGAGAAUCGUUAAACUCGAUUUCAUUUUUUACCUUGACAAUCAGGGUUGAACAUUGACCUUGAGUAAAAGAUUCAAGAACUCAAUGGUUGUACUGCCGCUGUAGUACUAUUGGGAUGAGAAAGUAGUAAAAUAAAACUAAACAGGCUUUACGUCCUGGAAGAUGCUCCUAUUUUGUAUUUAUCGGCGAGUUCUCCUAACAUGGUGGCUAAUCUAUGGAGUGUAAGCAAUGAUGUUGAUAAAUUUGGUAUGUCCUUAUGUGUGAGUUGAUUUCAAAGGACAGCAAAUGAUUAUACCAAAUAGGGGCUAAACAUAUAUAUACAACCAUCUAAUUGGUUUCCAAUCGUAUUUGACUAAAUAUGAUUCUACCAAAUAGGGGUUGUUCUAUCGAUAUUUUCACGGACAUGUGUACCUUGGUUCCUCAAAGUUAUGAUAAGUUUAUCAUCACAGGUGCGAUUUAUUUUGGGCACUGGAAUGUUGUUGAACAAGUGCUUGCAUAUAGCUGCCUUUCAAGUUUAUAUGUUUGUGACAUAUAGUUUCCUUUGCAGACCAAUGAACUCUAUCAGUUGGCUUCAGUUGCAUUUUGCCUGCUUAUAGCUUGGGUUUGUUUCUUUACAAUGUCUUAUAUCUGGAUUUACUUCACUUUUGCCAUUGGUUUAUUAUGUCAUUCCAUGUGCGCUACAUUAGUGAGACAAUCAUUAUUCACUUUCUGCUUUCUAGUGAUUUUUCAUAUUUGCAUUAGUAAAAGGCCGAAUGCUAGGUUUGAAUAAUUCCCUAUAUCUUGUUUCUGAUAGCUCAGCGUCUCAAUUCCUCCGCCGUCUUUGUAUGGCCCUCAUAUAGUGAACUGUGAUGCAGUCUGAUUGUUCGUGUAAUUUCAGUGUUGUGACAAGCUCGGUUUGAGUAUAGAAUUGGGUUCAUUUGCUGCUGGAGUGAUGAUAUCAACAACUGAUCUUGCUCAACAUACGCUUGAACAAGUUGAACCUAUUCGCAACUUUUUUGCUGCUCUUUUCCUGGCUAGCAUUGGGAUGCUCAUCCAUGUUCAUUUUCUCUGGAAUCACGUUGAUAUCUUACUUGCAUCGGUUAUACUGGUGGUGUGGUUAAAACCAUAGUAAUUUCUGCAGUUGUCGAGGGGUUUGGCUACAACAACAAAACUUCACUUCUCGUAAGAUGGCUACCAUGUUGUUUAAUAUAGUACUUCUAUAUAUCAUCUUUAGAUGGAUUACAUUAACAAGGCUCUAUGGUCCUUGAGCAAUAUAGUCGGAUUGUCUUUGGCUCAAAUAGGGGAAUUUGCAUUUGUACUGCUCAAUCGUGCUUCUAAUCUUCAUCUUGUUUAGGAAACGCUCUGUGGACAGGAUUCCCAUGGGGUUAUUUUAUGGAGUGGUCAGGGUAGAAAGAAAAGUGACUUCUAUAGUUCUGUCUUAAGUUUUCAUGGCUUAUUUAUUUUCUUCAUAAACCCUCUAGCUAGCCAGCAUUUUGAGGUUUAUGAUACUCCAAAAUUUUAAUUGAAAGCAGUGCUUGUGGGGAUUCUGUUACACAUCUCUAACAUAGAAAAAGACUGUCUUAUGAGCCAGAAAAAAAUUGAAUACUCGCUAGAAGGUAAUCUAACUGCUAGAGACACUAAUCGCCAGAAGCUUAACCUUUGGUUGAGGUAAUUACCCUAUUUCCUCUGGGAUUAGAUUUUUGUUUUCUUUCCCUUCAAUGUAAAAUAGUUUUCAGCUUGUAAUUUGUUCAGACUGUUAUUCUUUUUCCACUAGUUUCAUUUUAUUUAUAUUGUCAACUUGUAGAUUUCAACAUGUAUCAAGUUACAUUUUCUUAAAUGCGAAAAAAAAGUGAUGUAUAAACUGCAAGUCUUAAAGAUGAGGGGAAAUAAGACUAUAUGAAGUGGGUGUUAUCUUCCA